rnacentral:lncRNA from 1 species
CCUCCACUUCCUUCUCUUUCCACUAGUCUUCUUCCACUCCAGUCUUCCAGUACCACCCUUUCUUCCUUUUCCUCCUCUCUUUUAUCCCUCCUCCCUCUUCUCCGCCUCCCUCUCAGCCUCCAGGUCUUCGGGAAAACUCGGGGCAGAUUUUAGGCCUGAACACGACUUGCGCACGCGCAGGAGCUGCGCCGGCUCGACCGGUGGUUCUGAGGUUCCAGGCUGCUCAGUCCCGCUGCCCUCCAGGCCUCGGCUCCUGCUUGGGGCCACUGCGCUGUGCCCUCAGGAUGAGCGUUCCUGACUACAUGCAGUGCGCAGAGGACCACCAGACCCUCCUGGUGGUCGUUCAGGCCGUGGGCAUCGUCUCUGAGGAGAACUUCUUCAGGAUCUACAAGCGGAUCUGCUCGGUGAGCCAGCUCAGUGUGCGCGACUCACAGCGUGCACUCUUCAUCCGUUACCGGCACCACUACCCGCCGGAGAACAACGAGUGGGGCGACUUCCAGACGCACCGCAAGGUUGUGGGCCUCAUUACCAUCACCGACUGCUUCUCGCCCAAAGACUGGCCACAGACUUUCGAGAAGUUCCACGUGCAGAAGGAGAUCUACGGCUCCACGCUCUACGAUUCCCGCCUCUUUGUGUUUGGGCUGCAGGGUGAUGUGGCUGAGCAGCCCCGCCCGGAUGUGGCCUUCUAUCCCAACUAUGAUGACUGUGAUUCAGUGGAGAAGCGCAUCGAAGACUUCAUCGAGUCCCUUUUCAUUGUGUUGGAGUCCAAGCGCCUGGACAGAGCCACGGACAAGUCCGGGGACAAGAUCCCUCUUCUCUGUGUCCCCUUCGAGAAAAAGGACUUCGUGGGACUAGACACGGAUAGCAGACACUAUAAGAAGCGGUGCCAAGGACGCAUGCGGAAGCACGUUGGGGACUUGUGCCUCCAGGCUGGGAUGCUGCAGGACGCCCUGGUACAC